rnacentral:misc_RNA from 1 species
AAGUCGUAACAAGGUUUCCGUAGGUGAACCUGCGGAAGGAUCAUUACUGAGUUGCUGACAAGAGUUGUUGCUGGUCCCCUCAAAUGGGGGACAUGUGCACACUCUGUCUGUAUAUCCACUCACACCUGUGCACCCUCUGUAGUUCUAUGGCCAGGGGGAUUUCCAUCCUCCUUCUGUGGUUCUGCAUCUUUACACACACACACUGUAUCAAAGUCUCAUGGAAUGUAUGCCGCGAUUAACGCAAUACAAUACAACUUUCAGCAACGGAUCUCUUGGCUCUC